rnacentral:rRNA from 1 species
UACGGAGGGUGCAAGCGUUGUUCGGAAUUACUGGGCGUAAAGCGUGUUAAGGUGGAUCCAUGUGUCAGAUGUGAAAUCCCCCGGCUUAACUGGGGAGGGUCAUUUGAAACUGUGGGUCUUGAGUUUCGGGGAGGUGGGUGGAAUUCCCAGUGUAGAGGUGAAAUUCGUAGAGAUUGGGAGGAACAUCGGAGGCGAAAGCGGCUCACUAACCGAACACUGACACUGUCACACGAAAGCGUGGGGAGCAAACAGG